rnacentral:rRNA from 1 species
AUUGAACGCUGGCGGCAUGCUUUACACAUGCAAGUCGAACGGUAACAGGCCGCAAGGUGCUGACGAGUGGCGAACGGGUGAGUAAUGCAUCGGAACGUGCCCAGUCGUGGGGGAUAACGCAGCGAAAGCUGUGCUAAUACCGCAUACGAUCUAUGGAUGAAAGCGGGGGACCGUAAGGCCUCGCGCGAUUGGAGCGGCCGAUGUCAGGUUAGGUAGUUGGUGGGGUAAAGGCUCACCAAGCCAACGAUCUGUAGCUGGUCUGAGAGGAAGACCAGCCAGACUGGGCCUGAGCAACGGCCCAGCUUCCUCCGGGAGGCAGCAGUGGGGAAUUUUGGACAAUGGGCGCAAGCCUGAUCCAGCAAUGCCGCGGGCAGGAAGAAGGCCUUCGGGUUGUAAACUGCUUUUGUACGGAACGAAAAGGUUUGGGUUAAUACCCUGGGCCGAUGACGGUACCGUAAGAAUAAGCACCGGCUAACUACGUGCCAGCCGCCGCCGUAAAAC